GAUGAACGCUGGCGGCGUGCCUAAUACAUGCAAGUCGAGCGAACAGACGAGGAGCUUGCUCCUCUGACGUUAGCGGCGGACGGGUGAGUAACACGUGGAUAACCUACCUAUAAGACUUGGAUAACUUCGGGAAACCGGAGCUAAUACCGGAUAAUAUAUUGAACCGCAUGGUUCAAUAGUGAAAGACGGUUUUGCUGUCACUUAUACAUGGCUCCGCGCCGCAUUAGCUAGUUGGUAAGGUAACGGCUUACCAAGGCAACGAUGCGUAGCCGACCUGAGAGGGUGAACGGCCCCACUGGAACUGAGACACGGUCCAGACUCCUACGGGAGGCAGCAGUAGGGAAUCUUCCGCAAUGGGCGAAAGCCUGGCGGAGCAACGCCGCGUGAGUGAUGAAGGUCUUCGGAUCGUAAAACUCUGUUAUUAGGGAAGAACAAAUGUGUAAGUAACUAUGCACGUCUUGACGGUACCUAAUCAGAAAGCCACGGCUAACUACGUG
rnacentral:rRNA from 1 species